CCUACGGGAGGCAGCAGUGGGGAAUCUUGCGCAAUGGGCGAAAGCCUGACGCAGCCAUGCCGCGUGAAUGAUGAAGGUCUUAGGAUUGUAAAAUUCUUUCACCGGGGACGAUAAUGACGGUACCCGGAGAAGAAGCCCCGGCUAACUUCGUGCCAGCAGCCGCGGUAAUACGAAGGGGGCUAGCGUUGCUCGGAAUUACUGGGCGUAAAGGGAGCGUAGGCGGAUAGUUUAGUCAGAGGUGAAAGCCCAGGGCUCAACCUUGGAAUUGCCUUUGAUACUGGCUAUCUUGAGUGUGGGAGAGGUAUGUGGAACUCCGAGUGUAGAGGUGAAAUUCGUAGAUAUUCGGAAGAACACCAGUGGUGAAGGCGACAUACUGGCCCAUUACUGACGCUGAGGCUCGAAAGCGUGGGGAGCAAACAGGAUUAGAUACCCUGGUAGUCCACGCUGUAAACGAUGAGUGCUAGUUGUCGGCAGCAUGCUGUCGGUGACGCNGCUACGCAUAAGCACUCCGCCGUCGGGAGGUACGGUCGCGAGAUAACUACAAGAGAGUAGACGCGNGAGAGCGACGACGACGACGACGAGGGAGAG
rnacentral:rRNA from 1 species